UGCACAACAUUGUGAAUGUAUGUACUAAAUGCCACAGGAUUGUGUGCUUUAAAUUUUUAUGUUGUGUGAACUUUACCCCAACUUAAAAAACAUCGAUCAGUCUUGGGGAAAAAAAGCACGUAAGCAAGUCACGCAGCUAUAGGAGUGACAAAACCAAGCCUUAGACUGUCUCCCAUGGUCCCCCGCCCCGCCCCCAGCACCUCCCACUCCCUGCUGGGGCUCCCCCUUCAUACCAGCUUUGCAGUCUCACACCCUGUCUUUUGCCUGCCAGGAUCUCAACGCUAGAAAGCUCCUGUCACACCUGACCAGGGCUGCCGGCUCUCAGGGCAUGGGCCCUGCACUUGGUCUUGACUGUUGUCCAGGGACCAGGGUUUGAGGCCCCUCGAAGCUUCAGUUCCUCGUCUGCAAAAGGACAGGAUGUGACAUCCUGGGAGUUUCCUGCCAGCAUCACUUAGAGCCGUGAACAGGGGGCUCCCCGUCUUCUCUGAGCCUCACUUUCCCUUCUCUCAAAAGGAGUAAGGAAGAUGGCAAAGUUCUGGAACAGGACCGACACGCAGGUGGAUGGAAUAGAAGAUUGAGCCCAAUUGACUUAUCCAGUCAUUUGAUUUUCACCAAAGGUGCCAAAGAAAUAGAGCCCCUGGGAACCCCGGCAUCAUUCCCGCCACUUGUGGGCUGCUCCAAGGUAAGGACCCGGCUGUCGUGGUGGCCACAGCAUCUCUGUGCUCCGUCCAGAGUCUGGCUUGUUAAAUUCCCCAUGAGGGCGCAGCAACGCCACCACCACGAUGACCCCACAGAUGGGAAGGAGCGCGUGCUGGGUGACUCCUUUUAGGAAGUUCAAGAACAGUCAAAGCGAGUCAGGGAGGUGCUGGCCAGGUGGGGCUCCAGGGGGCUUCUAGGAGCUGGAAAUGUUCGGUGUCAGCCACAGAUGUAACUUUAAAUGUUCCAGCAGCCUCAUUAACACGGUAAAAAUAAACCAGUGAAAUCAAUUUUAAUAGUAUAUCUUAUUGAACCCAUGAGUAUGCCCCAAAUAUGAUCAUUUCAAUAUGUAAUCAAUAUAAAAGUUACUGAGAAAUUUUUAGGUUCUCCUUUCCCUCCAAACUAAGCCAUCUGGCCCACCUACACUCCGUCAAGCCGCACCUGGCCCGCUCCCACCACAGGCCCAUCCUGGGCUCCACAGGCUGACAUCUCGGCUGGACACAUCUCAACAGACACAUACUUGUACUCAAGGCUACCUACCCUCUGUGAGCCUCAGUUUUCUCAUCUGUAACAGCUUCACAAUCAAGUAACUCGAAAUCGGUGAGUCCACCCACCCCCACCUCAGCACGAAGGGCAGGGAGGGGAAACAGCGGCGUGACAGAGUGGCGGGGCCUAGAGGGUAAGUUCCUAGGUGGGAAUGGAGCCAGGGCGGGGGGGCGGGGCGCGAGGUCUGGGUAGGGAGACCCGGGUUUUCCCAAAGCGGAACCCCCCAAGGCCUGAGUCAGCGCAUCUGGGGCUCACAACAACCUCGACCGCAGUUACUAUUACAGCCCCCAGACUGUGACUCAACCGGGUCGCCUCGGUCGGGGCGAGAGCGGGGCUUGCAACCUUGGGACCCAGCCCCCCCAAAUUCCUUGCAGUCUGCGGUGGGGGUGGGCUGAGCGGGCCCCUUUCUUUGUGCGGGCGGGAGGGCGCGGUCUAGCGGAGAUAGACCAAUCCGGGGAGGCCCCAGCUCUGGGAAGCCAAUGGCGGGGCUGUGGCCGGGACGUGGGCGGGGCCUGUGGGGAGUGGGCGGGGCUCCUGCUACCUGCUGUAGUUGAGGUUCCUUUGGGGUCCUGCAG